UAUUUUGACUAUACGAAGGUAUUGAAAUAAGGCUUUAAAUGAGUGCUAAGAGAAUGGUUAAACGAUUGGAAGCUUUCUUUAAUUAAUAAAUUGAAUUUAAUUUUUUUGUGAAGAAGCAAAAAUUUGAAUUAGGGACAAGAAGACCCUAUGAAUUUUAUAUUAAAUUCACAUAAGAUAUGUUUUUUAAUAAUUUAAUUUGGUUGGGGCGACAGAAAAAGAAUAUAUAUCUUUUGGUGUAAGGUAGUUAAUUUGUUCCGUUAUUAACGAUUAAAUGAGAAAAAUACUCUAGGGAUAACAGCGUAAUAAUUUUGGAUAGUUCAUAUAGAUAAAAUAGUUUGCGACCUCGAUGUUGGAUUAGGAUUCUUUUUUAGUGAAGAAGUUAAAUAAAAGAAGUUUGUUCAACUUUUAAAUUCCU
rnacentral:rRNA from 1 species